GGCUUUGUAGCUCAGCUGGUAGAGCAUGCGCGUACAAAGCGUAGGCGGUGUCCAUGCGUGGGUUCGAAUCCCACCGGGGCUA
rnacentral:tRNA from 1 species